CGCCAUCCCCAUACCGAUAAAUAUUACUCUUAACAGGACCGGAGCUUAUUAAUUCAUUUCUACUAUCGCCGAUAACUGUUGGAACGGGCAAAAGCUCAACAUCACAGUCGGAGAUGAGAGCAACCCUACCGCUGCUGUUCCCGCAGCUGGACCGAGUCUCACCACCUCGCCUGGAACUUCAAUUCCUCCUCUUGUGACCAACUCAGCUUCUUCCCUUGUUUCUACUCUGUCUCCUGUCUUCUUCAUGGCCAUUGCCUUAGUUUUGAUGUGCUGAUUAUGUUAUUAAUUCCAUUUUGCAGUUUUUGUUAUUUGAUGUUAUGUGAGAUGAGAUCCAUUGUUUUACUAUGAUGGUGAUAAUCGUAUUUGUAAUGUUAUUUGAAUAAAAUUUGAUUCAUUUUUCUACAUACAUGUCAUUUUAUUUUGUAAAAUUAUAGUAGAGGUCCCUAUAUUAAAAAUUGGAUUACAUUUUAUUUUUUCUAUAUACAAUAUCAAAGAACAAAUUAAUCUUUUUUUGUUAAAAUUUUAUCUAUUUGUACUAUUAAAAAUUGAUAUGGCUAACAAAAUAAACAAUUAGUGACAUGUGGCGUGUCCCAUAUACCUCACGUUGACCUAUAAUAAUCAGUUUUAAUUAGCAAUAAAGGAUAAAUUUGUUAACAGAAUGACCAAUUUGCUCUUGAGUCUAAUUUACAAAGACUAAUUUAUCCAUUUUUUAGUAGAAUGAGCAAAAUGUAAUCUAACUCAUAGUACAAGAUCCUCCAAAAUACUUUUAUCCAAACAAUUUAUAAAUGUAACACAAUAAUUAUUUUGUAUUAAAAUUUUGGGGUUAAUGAAUCGAGUUUUAAUUUAAUUGGUAUUAGCGUUAUUAAAAUAUUUAAGAGAAUGUGAAUUCAAAACGGAUUUAAGGGUUUAGAGAUUUUGAAUAAAAAUAGACAAAAAUAUAUGUAACUUUAGAGUUAAAAUUGAAUAUUCUGUAUCGAAAGAGUUUAAUAUAAUUAUUAUUUUUCAGAGGUACCAAAAAUAUAUUUGUUUCAUUUUACGAAGGAGUUUAAAAGCGUAAGUUAAAUUAUUUAAAAAGAUGAAAAGCCGAUGCUAAAAACAUUUUAGCUCAUUUAAGAUUCAAUUUAUUUCAGUUUAUUUGUCCUUAAAAAAUGAUUUGCUAAUUUUAUAAGAGACUAAAAGUGUAGUUUUUAUUUAAUUAAAAGGGUCUAGGCUUUUGUCUGUCUUGACUUCAUCCCUGCUUAUGAAUAUAUAUAUUAAAAUUUUAUAUUUUCAUUCUCAUAUUUGAAUUCUUUAAAGCUGUAUAGAGUCUAGAUGGUAAACCAAAAAUAGUUUUUUUGAAGAACAGGAUUUAGAUGGUCGGUGUAGUGCGUUUAAAUUAUUUUUUGUCUUAUGUUAUAGUAUCGUUACAGUAUUUAAAUUCACAAUCAUCGUUGUUUUUAUACUAAUCGCAGGUAAAUACACCGUCCAUCCAAACCCACUAUUAAAAUAUUGAAGCCCUUGUAACAAAGGUAAAUUAUAUUAAAGUCACCUAAUUAUGUCUUUUUUUGCUAUCUAGUUAUGAAAAAUUACAAAAUAGUGACCAAAUUAUUCAAUUUUCUCUUUUUGGUCAUCUGAUUGUAUUAGAUUUUUUAGUGUUUUUAUUUUUAUGAUACUCAGUUGAUGAUUAACAAAACAAAUUUAAAUAAUUAAGUGAUCAAUUUAUAGCUUCUUAUAAAAGGAUGAAAAAAUUAUAGUUCACCCUUGUAAUAAAAUCAAACAUGAAAUUUCUUAGGUAUUUCGUUCACUAAAAUCAAAAUUCUAGUUAUAGUCAUGCUGAUGUUAGUGAAUGGAGACAAUAUUGGCAGGUGAAGGCACUAAAUGUCUUUUAUUGUAGAAAUUAAUGCAGAAAACCCAGAAAAAACACCAAAACUAAGCAAAAUCUUCAAUGAUUGAUUGAUUCCAACUUUGAAAUUAUAAUUUGAUCCAAAGUCUAAGUUUAAUAAAAUUCGUAGUGAAAAAUAUAAGUUUGAAUUUUGGAGGCAACAUUGUUAGAAGAGCAAUUACGAACCCCGAAUAUUGACCAUAAAACAGAUAUGCAUGCAUAAUAUCAAAAAAUUCAAUAUUCUAUCAACAAAUCACAUAAUUGUUCAUGGGCUCCUUUAACUUUAAUAAUUUAUCAAAUAAUCAUGUUUUAUAUCUUUAAUUAUUCAUUUUACCUUCUAAAUAUAAAAGUACGUAUUAUCAUUUUUUUUUGUAUCAUUCAACUUUGUUUUAUGGUUUAUAUUUAGGGUUCGUGACUAUCAUUUUUUAUAAUGUUUUGAACCCCUUUCAACCCUGGGCCUUGGACGGCCACACCUCCAGAUGACCCCAAGGCCGAGCCUGAUUGAGCUAGGCUUCACAAAUGUAAAAAAAUUGAAUUAUGCAAUCAAUUUGUUAUCCUUUAUUUUGUUUUGUUUUUCGAAAUGCUUGAAAAAGUGUUCACCUCCACAAUCACUUUUGCUCAUACUCUGUAUCUUGCAAUUAUCAACUAGUUCAUAUAAAAAAUUCAAAUGAAAAUCACUAAAAAAAUCCAAAUAUAAAUAUUGUCAUAUAAAUAGCCAUAAACAAUAUUAAUCUAAAUUUUACAUUUUCUUGUCAAAGAGACUUUGGCUUAAUAGCAUUUGAACCUUUAUAAGAUUCAAACGUUAUGUAAAUCAUUCCCACCAUACGUGGACUCUAUUUAGAUAUAUGCUACUUUUCAAUUCAUUCUUCCAUUGUAAUAAUUUGAGGAUAAUGUUUUAAAAAUCGGAUCGGUAGUUGAAUUUGUUAAACUAUUGGUUCGUAAUUCAAUUGGUCCAAUCGUACAAUUAAAAAUUAUUAAAAAAUUAAAAAAAUAUAAAAUUAAUUCAACUGACUUUUUGUUCUGAAUUAAUUAGUUUCAAAUGAUUCACUCAAAAAUUAGUUUAACUUAUUUGUUGGGUCCAAUUCUAUGGAAGUGAUUCACACAAUAAUUAUACCGAGAGCCACACGGAAGUGAGUUGAUUAAUAAGCUUGAAGUCGCGUAUAGUUCAGAUGGAGCCUCUAGCUUAUGGAGAAGGGGAUUUAUAUAAAGUGUGUAAUCUAAUAUGGAUCCUACGACGUGAAUGCCCUAUUACAUAUAUUCAAGUGUAGAGUAGUGAUUGAUUGGAAAGAUGCCAUCUGAGCUAGGGGUGUGCAAAAUUCGGGUAAAACAGAAAAAAUUCGAUUAACCGACCGAAUUCGGUUAAUCGGUCGGUUAAUCGAAUUUUUUCGGUCGGGGGGUCGGUUAAUUAUUUUUUGAUUUUUCGGUUAACGGUUAAUUCGGAUCGAAACCAGUCGGUUAACCGAAUUUUUUCGAUUUAACUGAAAAAAUUAAUAAAUAAAAUUAUAAUAUAUAAAUAGACCCACUAUUCACCUAAACUCAAUCUAAACCCAAGUAUUCAACCCAACCCAACCCAAUCAUAAAAAUUACAAAUAAUUUAAUAAAUAAAAAUAAAAUUCUAAAACUAAGACUAAAACUAAAGUCUAAAAGACUAAAAAUAAUUUAAUUAUGUAGUGAUUCAAUUUGGUUAAUACGGUUAAUUCGGGUAAUUCGGGUAAUUUUUAACCAAAAAUAAAAAAGCAUAUAAUUUUCAGUUAAUUCGUUUAACCGACCGAAUUAACUGAAAAAAUUUCGGUUCAGUUAAUUUUUUUGAAAAAAAUUUCGGUUCGAUUAACGGUUAAAGAUUUUGAAAGGUCGGUUAAUUCGGUUAAUGUUAUUUCGGGUCGGUUAACCGAAUGAACACCCCUAAUCUGAGCUGACUUGAUGUAACCAGCUAUAGCUAAAUUCAAUCGUGAGAAGUUGGUGUCGGGAUGUGACAAGGCAACAAGUUACUUUAAUCUUAGUUUUAGAGGCGUCCAUGGCAGGUUGGUCCAAUUAAAAUUUUAGGUUUGUUUCGGUUUGAAAAUUGAUUUUAAAAUUUUGAUUAAAUUUAAUUCAGAUAAAAUAUUAAAAUUUAGGUUCAGUUUGAUCCGAUCGUAUUAAUUUUUAUAUUAUUUUAAAAAAUUAUAUAUAAAAAAAUUCUAAAAAUCUUAAAGUAGAUGUGUAGAGUUAAAUAACACUAAAAUAUGUACAGUUUAACAAGUAAAUGCUCCUAAAAUAGUAACAAAAUUAAUAAUAAAAUAAUAGUAACAUAAUAGUGAAAUAGCAAUAAAAUAGUGAGAAAACAUUAUUUAGACAAUAUUAUCUUAUGCCUGACGAAACAAAAUAAUAACAAUCUAAUAGUGAAAUUAUAGCAAAUUCAAGUCGAGCUGGGCUCAGGCCAAAAAAGCAAAAAAAGCCUUACUCGAGACUCGACUAUUAAAUUCAUUUUUCGAAACUAUAUUUUUAUCUAAAUCUUUUAUUUUUGAACGAACCUUCUACCCGAGUCAUAAAUAGGUUUACUUGGUUGUAAUGGUUGUUGAUUCAUACAACACUAUUUAGACAAUAUUAUAUUAUUUGAGACGAAAAAAAAGAGCCAUAUCUUUUCGGAAGGAAUUGAUGAGACCGUGUUUAAAAAAGUUGGUAUGGAUGUAACACUUGUCUUGAAAAGACCCAUUGACCUUUCUUUAAUCGUUCCAAGCAUUAAAGGAUGGUGUGCCUACUGUUGUAGUCCCUUUGCAAUGUUAAAGUUAGGGUUUUAAUCCUACUUUAAUUACGCUUUUAAUAGAUUAAAAUAUGAUUUUGAUCGUAUAAAUAAAUAUUUUUUAUUUAUUUUACUAUUUAUGAAAUUUUAAAAUUUGUACGAAUUUUCUAAGUGUACUUUUGCCAAUAUGGAUGCCAUUCAAUAACUGCCCCCACCCACGACCCUAAAUAACUCAAUUAUGGUCUCUCUUCACACAUGGGAAACGACUUUUAAUUAAUUGACCCAUAAGCAUGAGCUUUUUUCAUCAUCUUCCAAGAAAGUUACACAGAUCCAUUAUUCUAUAUAUAUAUGUUCCAUUGGUGAAGAUGAAGAUAUACAAAUUACACAUUACAUUUGAAAACUAGAGGCACAGAUCUAAGAGAGGGGCGACUGAGAAGUGAGAACACAGCAAAUUUUCAAUGAGUGGGAAAAUCACCAUGGCCAUGGCUGCACUUUUUGUAGUUCUAGCUGCAAAUGUGUUGCAGAGUACAAAUGGUGCAACUUAUACAGUGGGUGACUCUACUGGCUGGAGAGUCCCUGCCAAUAAUGAUUUCUACGAUGAUUGGGCUGAUAACAAAGCCUUCGUUGUUGGGGAUGUUCUCGGUGAGUUUUUGAGCUUUAAAAUCUUUGUUAAUUGAGCUUGUUGAUUCGGAAUUUGAUAUUUUUAUACGUGUGGUUUUGCAGUGUUCAAUUUCACUACCGGACAACAUGAUGUUGCAGAGGUGACGGAAACUGCUUACGAUGCGUGCACCACUGCCAAUACUAUAUCAACCGUCAGCACCGGUCCGGCAAGGAUUACUCUUAACAGGACCGGCGAAUUUUACUUCAUUUGUGCUGUCCCCGGUCACUGUUCCGGCGGGCAAAAGCUCAACGUCGAAGUCAGAAAUGGGAACAACGGUACCGCUGCUGUUCCCGCACCUGGACCGAGUCCCACCACCACGCCUGUAGCUACCAGCCCCACCACCAGUACGCCUCCGACCGCUGCCACGCCCACCUCGCCUGGAACUUCAAGUCCUCCUCCUGGGACCAACUCAGCUUCUUCCCUUGUUUCUACUCUGUCUCCUGUCUUCUUCAUGGCCAUUGCCUUAGUUUUGAUGUGCUGAUUAUGUUAUUAAUUCCAUUUUGCACUUUUUGUUAUUUGGUGUUAUGUGAGAUGAGAUCCAUUGUUUUACUAUGGU
rnacentral:lncRNA from 1 species